UCCCGCUUCUUCCUGCCCGCUGCCGUCAUCAUGGUUGUCCUCCACCAGCUCUCCGCGUGGCCGCCGCCGUCCGCCGAUGGACGUCGACUCUGACCUGGCCGACAAGGGCAAGCCCACCCAGAUGGACCUCGAGGACCAGGCUUCUAUACAUCUACAGGUUUCUGUAAUUGAUAGGUUAACAAGCUUUUCUAAUUUAUUUAUUUUUUGGUGAUUGUUGCUUUUGCUGGAUCAAGCAUCAUGAGUGAAUAGUCCUGAUAGCCGAGUUUUUUUUUUUUUUUGCAACGCAUGAAGAACCAUAUGCUCUCAUUUUAAUUUUCAUUUGUUCAGUCAUGAAUUGUUUGUGCAAUAUAUUCAGAAAAGUGCUCCCAUCUGAAUUUCAUUUGUUCAGUGAUAUAUUUGUGUGUGCAAUAUUUGGAAAACUGCCAAUAGCAUCAUCAUCAGGUUCUCUGAUAUUUUUUAUAAAUGAAAACUCUAGAAGCUUGAUUCAAUAGCAGUUCACUGAAAUUUUGUGGUUCAACAGAGCAUAUCAAUUGAUUUUCUCUGAACUGCUCUCUACAUAUGAUCCUUUUGAUCAUAGUUUUUCGCUGAAUAUUUUGGUUGAACAAAGCAGUUGUAGUCCCCUAUGAGCUUUUUUCUGCUGUAGAUGUAGUUCAUGUUCUGAUUUUUUUUUUGUUGAUGAACAGAUUUCUCAAUUUUGGUCUACUUGAUUUUUCAUCCAUAGACUACAGGAAUGCUCUGAAUUUGUGGAGUUUUCUGCACCUCAGCUGACGAUCAUGGGGGAGGCUGCAACCCCAGCGAGGCAGGAGGAUGUUUUCCAGGUGGCGGGUCACGCCUCGUCGAUAGCAUAGAUCACACAUGGGCAGAGGAAGCUGUGGAUAGCAUGAUGGGUCUGCUAGCUGCAAGUUCAUUGGGUGGAGCUUUCUCUUGGGGGGUGCUUUUGCCUGCCAUGGUAAGGCCAGCAAGAUGGGAUGAGGCUUCAGCUGGCUAGUGGGGAUGGAGAUGAAAUCAGAAAUCAGGAUUUACUGUCUUUUGUAGUUAAUAAUCAGCGUCGUCGGCCCUGAUCUACAUUUGCUAUAUUAGUGCUGGCAUCGAUCGGUAUCGGCAUAUGUAUUAGCGGGUGGUGUUGAUUUGAUUUUGUUUAUUAGUUUUGUGUUUUUCUGCCGAUGUAUCAUUGCGUGCAUUAUCAGAUUGUUGAUGUAACACCGACACUGGAUCAAACAAUUCAUGUUUGUAAAGAAAUUAUUAAAUUGUGGUUAGGUUAAUAAUAUGAAUCAUAAUCUUUUACCUUCA